rnacentral:rRNA from 1 species
GGCGNUCAGGAAAGUCUGGAGUAAAAGGCUAUGGNUCAACCAUAGUGUGCUCUGGAAACUGUCUGACUUGAGUGCAGAAGGGGAGAGUGGAAUUCCAUGUGUAGCGGUGAAAUGCGUAGAUAUAUGGAGGAACACCAGUGGCGAAAGCGGCUCUCUGGUCUGUCACUGACGCUGAGGCUCGAAAGCGUGGGUAGCGAACAGGAUUAGAUACCCUGGUAGUCCACGCCGUAAACGAUGAGUGCUAGGUGUUAGGCCCUUUCCGGGGCUUAGUGCCGGAGCUAACGCAAUAAGCACUCCGCCUGGGGAGUACGACCGCAAGGUUGAAACUCAAAGGAAUUGACGGGGGCCCGCACAAGCGGUGGAGCAUGUGGUUUAAUUCAAAGCAACGCGAAGAACCUUACCAGGUCUUGACAUCCCGAUGCUAUUCUUAGAGAUAGGAAGUUACUUCGGUACAUCGGAGACAGGUGGUGCAUGGUUGUCGUCAGCUCGUGUCGUGAGAUGUUGGGUUAAGUCCCGCAACGAGCGCAACCCUUAUUGUUAGUUGCCAUCAUUAAGUUGGGCACUCUAGCGAGACUGCCGGUAAUAAACCGGAGGAAGGUGGGGAUGACGUCAAAUCAUCAUGCCCCUUAUGACCUGGGCUACACACGUGCUACAAUGGUCGGUACAACGAGUUGCGAGCCGGUGACGGCAAGCUAAUCUCUGAAAGCCGAUCUCAGUUCGGAUUGGAGGCUGCAACUCGCCUCCAUGAAGUCGGAAUCGCUAGUAAUCGCGGAUCAGCACGCCGCGGUGAAUACGUUCCCGGGCCUUGUACACACCGCCCGUCACACCACGAGAGUUUGUAACACCCGAAGUCGGUGAGGUANCCUUUUAGGG